AUUGAACGCUGGCGGCAUGCCUUACACAUGCAAGUCGAACGGUAACAGGUCUUCGGAUGCUGACGAGUGGCGAACGGGUGAGUAAUACAUCGGAACGUGCCUAGUAGUGGGGGAUAACUACUCGAAAGAGUGGCUAAUACCGCAUGAGAUCUACGGAUGAAAGCAGGGGAUCGCAAGACCUUGUGCUACUAGAGCGGCCGAUGGCAGAUUAGGUAGUUGGUGGGAUAAAAGCUUACCAAGCCGACGAUCUGUAGCUGGUCUGAGAGGACGAUCAGCCACACUGGGACGGGGACACGGCCCAGACUCCUACGGGAGGCAGCAGUGGGGAAUUUUGGACAAUGGGCGCAAGCCUGAUCAGCAAUGCCGCGUGCAGGAUGAAGGCCUUCGGGUUGUAAACUGCUUUUGUACGGAACGAAAAGCCCUGGGUUAAUACCCUGGGGUCAUGACGGUACCGUAAGAAUAAGCACCGGCUAACUACGUGCCAGCAGCCGCCGUAACAC
rnacentral:rRNA from 1 species